GUGUCGUGAGAUGUUGGGUUAAGUCGCCGCAACGAGCGCAACCNUUAUUGUCAGUUGCCAGCAUUUAGUUGGGCANUNUGGNGAGANUGCCGGUGACAAACCGGAGGAAGGUGGGGAUGACGUCAAAUCAUCAUGCCCCUUAUGACCUGGGCUACACACGUGCUACAAUGGACGGUACAACGAGUCGCGAAACCGNGAGGUCAAGCUAAUCUCUUAAAGCCGUUCUCAGUUCGGAUUGUAGGNUGCAACUCGCCUACAUGAAGUUGGAAUUGCUAGUAAUCGUGGAU
rnacentral:rRNA from 1 species